ACCUUUAGGAAAAUGCAUCUCCAAGGGGGACUGGACUAUAAAAGGGAAGGGCAAAAUAACCCAGUUUCUCUCUCCCUAUCCAUCUCUCUUGAACCUAAGAAGACAGACAAAAUAGUCUAGCUCUUCGACUCUGAGAGGGCGCCUGACCUGAAGAUUUGUCGGUGGGGAUGCAUGUGUGAUAUAAAGGCUUAGGGUGAAAUACUCACCUCAUUAAAAUCAAUGACAAAACUGCUAUUGAGUUCAGUGUGCCAGGACUUCACCUCUAGUAUUUGGAUCUGAGGAGAUUCGUCAGAAAUUUUAAGAUAUUUUGGGCUCCAAAAGAUGCAGAUGGAUGCUUUUGAAAACCCCACAAGGUCAAAGGAUGGGUGUAUGGGAAGUGAGAAAAUGAAAACCUGGGAGAGAUUGGUGGUGUUCUAGCAUGGACUGAACUGCGGCAAGACUAAAGGAAAACAGAGCUCACAAGAUUAGGUAUAAGGCCAGACUGAAUCUGCGUUCUGUCCUUUUGAAUUUUUGCAUGUUCUGUGAUGCAGUGGUUUCUUGGAUCCCAAUCUCUCAGCACAGGAGAAUUGAAAGUGAAAUUGCUUAAGACUAGAAUGCAUUCAGCUGAGCCCAAGAGUUGUACUGUAAAGGUUAGGAGGAGGACCUAGGACCACAAGUACGCUUAGGGGCGGCUCCAGAGUAAAGGAUGUGAAAAAAUCAGUCAGAAACAAUCUAUCCCUAAUUUAAAAACUUGGAGCAAGUGAAAAAUUAAACACAACACCGAGCUGUUUACCAGACUGAAAAUAGAAUUUAUUCCGAGUUAGAAUCUAGUUCCAAUCUUCUUGUCUGGGUUUCCCAAAAAUCUCAGAUUUCUUGUAAUGUAAAAUAAUUGAUGGUUGACUCCAGAUGGAUGGAUGGACAUGGACAUGCACGCAUGUGGAUUCCCAGGGAAAUUUAAAAAGAACUUUGUAGCUCUUGGCAAAAGCAGAAGUCACUGUUUUUAUUUGUACCAGUCUUUUCCCAGCAUUGUCUCUUCCCUGACUAUUUUAUGACUGAGAUCAGCAGGAAGGGGCAGCAGAGAUGCUAGUUAGAAGAAAAAUAGUUUCACAUGCCUGGCCCACAGUCUCCAUGGCUGCUGACUCUAUCAUACUCAUAAUGUUUUGGCAACCAAUGUUCAAGUGGAAGGGGAUUACUCAUCAGAAGAUGGUAACCGAUACUUUGUUUUCCAUACGGGACCAUACUUUGGCUUUUGAGGCCUGCCACGUUUUUGAUGAGAAAUCCAAUCUAUCACUUUCUGGUCAUUUCUCUAUGAUACUUUACUAAAAGGUGCUUUUUAUCAAGCACCAGUCUUUCACAGUUUCAAGCAAUGAUGAGUUCAUCAUUUCAGUAAAUGGUUUCUCUUUGGAGCCAUUUCCAUGCAUAUUCAUUUGAGUUCAAAACUAAACUUUCUUUUAACAACACUUUCUGUCCUUCCAUUGUUAUCUUCCACAACAACUUGAGAGUCUCUGCUAUAAAAGAAAAAUUUAGCUGAAAUGUCUGAAUAGUCACCAAAAGAAACUUCAGAUUUAAAAAUGUGCAGUACAUGUUAUGUUGGUUAGUUAUAUAAAUAUUCCAUACGGGGAACAGAAACAUGAUGACAUGAUUUACAGAACUAACUCAGAGAGCG